GUUUAUUGCUUCUUCUUUUCAUGUUGAUAAGUUGAGCAAUUGAGGAAAGAUGUGAACAAUUAUUUCAGUAAUUGGUUGAAAGUAGAAGAGGAUUGUCGGAGAGCUAUUCAACUUAACCGCAAUUCUGUCAAGCUUUGACACUUUGGUUACCCGCCCUGCCAACAGUAAUUUCUCUUAUCUCUCUCUUCCUCCAUACAUUUGUUGGG